rnacentral:rRNA from 1 species
UACGUAGGGGGCAAGCGUUGUCCGGAAUUACUGCGCGUAAAGGGCGCGUAGGCGGCCUUCUAAGUCGAACGUGAAAUCCCCGGGCUCAACCCGGGAACUGCGUCCGAUACUGGAAGGCUUGAAUCCGGGAGGAGGGAUGUGGAAUUCCGAGGUGUAGCGGUGAAAUGCGUAGAUAUCUGGAAGGAACACCGGUGGCGAAGGCGACAUCC